rnacentral:rRNA from 1 species
UAGAGUUUAAAUAAAUAUAUUAAAGUAGUAAAAUAUCUAUUUUUGAAAUUUAAAAAAUUUGGCGGUAUUUUUAUUUUACAGAGGAAUUUGUUUUUUAAUUGAUAGUUCACAAAAUACCUUACUUAAAUUUUUAUUUUGUAUAUUUCCGUCAUAAAAAUAUUUUGUAAAAAAUAUAAUUUUUAAAAUUUUAUAAUAUUAAAAAUGUCAGGUCAAAGUGCAGGUUAUAUUUAAGAAAAAAUGAAUUACAAUAAAGUUAUUUAUAUGGUUAUUUAAUUGAAAUAUUAAAUUUAAAGUGGAUUUGUUUGUAAAUUUAUUGAUUUAAAUAAAUUAAAUAAAGAUUUAAAAUAUGU